AUUGAACACUGGCGGCAGGCUUAACACAUGCAAGUCGAGCGGGGUGAUGGUGCUUGCACUAUCACUUAGCGGCGGACGGGUGAGUAAUGCUUAGGAAUCUGCCUAUUAGUGGGGGACAACAUCUCGAAAGGGAUGCUAAUACCGCAUACGUCCUACGGGAGAAAGCAGGGGAUCACUUGUGACCUUGCGCUAAUAGAUGAGCCUAAGUCGGAUUAGCUAGUUGGUGGGGUAAAGGCCUACCAAGGCGACGAUCUGUAGCGGGCCUGAGAGGAUGAUCCGCAACACUGGGACUGAGAGACGGCCCAGACUCCUACGGGAGGCAGCAGUGGGGAAUAUUGGACAAUGGGGGGAACCCUGAUCCAGCCAUGCCGCGUGUGUGAAGAAGGCCUUAUGGUUGUAAAGCACUUUAAGCGAGGAGGAGGCUCUUUUGGUUAAUACCCAAGAUGAGUGGACGUUACUCGCAGAAUAAGCACCGGCUAACUCUGUGCCAGCCGCCGCCGUAA
rnacentral:rRNA from 1 species